GCUGGGCGUGGUGGCGCACGCCUGUAAUCCCAGCACUUGGGAGGCUGAGGCAGGAGGAUCGCUGUGAGUUGAAGACCAGCCUGGGCUACAUGGUGAGUUCCAGGUCAGUCUCAACUACAUAGUGAGACCCUGUCUCAA
rfam:Fukomys damarensis contig124195, whole genome shotgun sequence.